rnacentral:tRNA from 1 species
GUUGUUUUGGCAGAUUAGUGUAAUUGAUUUAGAAUCUUUAAAUGUAAAUAUUUACAGGCAACA